CUGCAGCCCGAGUGGUGAUCGAUUUUAUUGAGCCUAAAGCGUCCGUAGCCGGACUAGUAAACCCUUGGGUAAAUUGGGCAGCUUAACUGUCCAAAUUCCGAGGGGACUGCUAGUCUUGGGACCGGGAGAGGUCAGAGGUACUCCAGGGGUAGGGGCUAAAUCCUGUAAUCCUUGGGGGACCACCAGUGGCGAAGGCGUCUGACUAGAACGGAUCCGACGGUAAAGGACGAAACCCUGGGGCGCGAACCGGAUUAGAUACCCGAGUAGUCC
rnacentral:rRNA from 1 species